rnacentral:tRNA from 1 species
GGCCUUGUAGCUCAGUGGUCUAGAGCAUCGGCAGUACUAAAGCCUUCCCCUUGCUGGCGUGGGUUCGAAUCCCACCGAGGUCG